rnacentral:rRNA from 1 species
UUCUGGCUCAGGAUGAACGCUAGCUACAGGCUUAACACAUGCAAGUCGAGGGGCAGCAUGUUGGUUGCUUGCAACCGAUGAUGGCGACCGGCGCACGGGUGAGUAACGCGUAUCCAACCUUCCCCUUAGUAGGGCAUAGCCCGUAGAAAUGCGGAUUAAUACCCUAUGUUCUUCGAAGCGGUCAUCCAAUUUGAAGCAAAGAUUCAUCGCUAAGGGAUGGGGAUGCGUCCGAUUAGGUUGUUGGCGGGGUAACGGCCCACCAAGCCAUCGAUCGGUAGGGGUUCUGAGAGGAAGGUCCCCCACAUUGGAACUGAGACACGGUCCAAACUCCUACGGGAGGCAGCAGUGAGGAAUAUUGGUCAAUGGGCGAGAGCCUGAACCAGCCAAGUAGCGUGCAGGAUGACGGCCCUAUGGGUUGUAAACUGCUUUUAUCAGGGGAUAAAGUGACCCACGUGUGGGUUUUUGUAGGUACCUGAUGAAUAAGGACCGGCUAAUUCCGUGCCAGCCGCCGC